AUACGUAGGGGGCGAGCGUUGUCCGGAAUUACUGGGCGUAAAGGGAGCGUAGGCGGUCGAUUAAGUUAGAUGUGAAACCCCCGGGCUUAACUUGGGGACUGCAUCUAAUACUGGUUGACUUAGAGUACAGGAGAGGGAAGCGGAAUUCCUAGUGUAGCGGUGAAAUGCGUAGAUAUUAGGAGGAACACCAGUGGCGAAGGCGGCUUUCUGGACUGACACUGACGCUGAGGCUCGAAAGCGUGGGGAGC
rnacentral:rRNA from 1 species